rnacentral:rRNA from 1 species
GUCGAGCGGACAGAUGGGAGCUUGCUCCCUGAUGUUAGCGGCGGACGGGUGAGUAACACGUGGGUAACCUGCCUGUAAGACUGGGAUAACUCCGGGAAACCGGGGCUAAUACCGGAUGCUUGUUUGAACCGCAUGGUUCAAACAUAAAAGGUGGCUUCGGCUACCACUUACAGAUGGACCCGCGGCGCAUUAGCUAGUUGGUGAGGUAAUGGCUCACCAAGGCAACGAUGCGUAGCCGACCUGAGAGGGUGAUCGGCCACACUGGGACUGAGACACGGCCCAGACUCCUACGGGAGGCAGCAGUAGGGAAUCUUCCGCAAUGGACGAAAGUCUGACGGAGCAACGCCGCGUGAGUGAUGAAGGUUUUCGGAUCGUAAAGCUCUGUUGUUAGGGAAGAACAAGUACCGUUCGAAUAGGGCGGUACCUUGACGGUACCUAACCAGAAAGCCACGGCUAACUACGUGCCAGCAGCCGCGGUAAUACGUAGGUGGCAAGCGUUGUCCGGAAUUAUUGGGCGUAAAGGGCUCGCAGGCGGUUUCUUAAGUCUGAUGUGAAAGCCCCCGGCUCAACCGGGGAGGGUCAUUGGAAACUGGGGAACUUGAGUGCAGAAGAGGAGAGUGGAAUUCCACGUGUAGCGGUGAAAUGCGUAGAGAUGUGGAGGAACACCAGUGGCGAAGGCGACUCUCUGGUCUGUAACUGACGCUGAGGAGCGAAAGCGUGGGGGAGCGAACAGGAUUAGAUACUCUGGUAGUCCACGCCGUAUACGAUGAGUGCUAAGUGUUACGGGGUUUCCGCCCCUUAGUGCUGCAGCUAACGCAUUAAGCACUCCGCCUGGGGAGUACGGUCGCAAGACUGAAACUCAAG